rnacentral:rRNA from 1 species
GACGUAGGGCGCGAGCGUUGUCCGGAUUUAUUGGGCGUAAAGAGCUCGUAGGCGGCUUGUCGCGUCGUCCGUGAAAACCCACAGCUCAACUGUGGGCUUGCGGUCGAUACGGGCAGGCUAGAGUUCGGUAGGGGAGACUGGAAUUCCUGGUGUAGCGGUGAAAUGCGCAGAUAUCAGGAGGAACACCGGUGGGCGGAAGGCGGGUCUCUGGGCCGA